AGAUAAGGUCCGCCUAUAUAGG
rnacentral:siRNA from 1 species